AUUUUCCACCUCCAAUUGUUGUUUACAAUUUAUUAUACUUUCUGGUGGACAUCCAACCAAAACCCAGGAUGGAUCAGUAUCCCGAUGAAAACGAGGAGUUCGAGCUGCAGUACCAAGAUGAAUUGGAGCUGCUGGAAGAUUUACCGGACGAAUUUAACCCUUACGAUGGUCCCAGCACCUCAAAACAGGCGGCUGAAAAACAAAAGGAAAACCAAGCUCCUUUGGGCUUAAAAGAUAAUUCCCGCUUUGGAAAUUCCACAUUGGGAUCGCCACAACUAUCGCAGAUUAGCUUUGGAGCCAGCAGUCAAUUGGAGGCAGAAGAUGCAGGCGGAGGCCAUGUAAAUCGGCGACUUUUCGGGACUCCCAAAGGCCCUCCCGCUGGAAGGGGGUGCUCCACGCCCUUCCAGCGAAUGCCCGCCAUCCAGGAACUGGAACAGACCCAACUCACUUCCAGGGACAAGGAUGCCAAUACCGCUGCCGAAAAACUCCAGGAAGUUGGCCUUAAAAAUGUGAAUAAGCGGCGUUUGGAACGCGACCUCUUUGGCGAUAUAGAUGACCUCUUCCACGAGUCCUACGAAGAUCCCUUGGUGAAGAAGGCCAGAACCGAGGAGCAACGCGACCAUGAAGCCAUCGAUAAGAUCCUCGAACUCCGCCGGAAAAUGCGCGAAUCCAGUAAAACUUUGCGAAAAGAUGAUGUUAGUCGGUUAAAGGAUUUACAUGACUUCAAGAUGCGGAACCUCUCCUAUGAGAUACCAAAUUGGCCCUUUUUGGCCAUCCAGCGCAGUGAUCUGGAGCGGAUCUAUGUUCGAUUCCAUUCGGAAGACUACGAGCAAAGGCAGCUGGACAUGAUCAGUGCCCGUGGCGAAGUGGUGGGCAGUCUUCUGGGCGAGGCCAAGGACAAGAUCUGGCAGGAAGCCGGUGAAAUAGUUCUAAGCCGCACUGCCAGCGAAUCAGAUGCAGAUGUAACCCUCGUGGCCACAAAUUCCACUACCGAACCGGGACGCCUUUGGGUGGACAAGUACAAGCCGCGGAAAUACAUUGACCUGCUCUCGGAUGAAAUGACUAACCGGAGUCUGCUCUACUGGCUGAAGAUGUGGGACAAAGUGGUAUUUGGCAAGGCAUUCCAUAGCAAACAGGAACAUGAGGCGAUGGCAGGAGAUGGCGGAGGCGGAGGAGGUGGUUCCAAUAACCAACUAAAUAGCUUCAAUAAGCGCACUGGCAAAUUCGAAUCGAAUGGCGGCUGGCGACAGCGCAAAUCCCGCCAAGCGCUCAACACAAAUGUGGAUGCCCUGGGCAGACCCAUGCAGAAGGUUGCCCUGCUAUGUGGACCUCCAGGUCUGGGCAAGACCACGCUGGCACACACGAUCGCCCGGCAUGCUGGCUACAAUGUCCGGGAGAUCAAUGCCUCCGACGAUCGCAGUCCGGAGGCCUUCAAAUUGGCCCUCGAGAAUGGCACGCAAAUGUCAUCGGUGCUGAAUGCAGACAAGCGACCCAAUUGCAUAAUUCUAGAUGAAAUUGAUGGUGCUCCCCGUCAGUCAAUCGAAUAUCUGGUCAAGUUCAUCAGCGAUGGAGUUUUCAACAAAGGCAAAGCCAAGGGUGCCAAGGCUGAGCAUAAUAUUUUAAAGCGUCCCAUUAUCUGCAUAUGCAAUGAUGUCUAUGAUCCCGCACUGCGACCAUUGAGACAAGUGGCCUUUGUGGUCACUUUUCCGCCCAUCGAUGCUGCGCGUCUGGCGGAAAGAUUGGUUAAGAUUGCCUACAGAGAGCAGCUGAAAACUGAUUUUGGUUCUCUGAUUGCCUUGGCCGAGAAAUCAGGCAACGAUGUCAGAAGUUGUAUAUCAUCUAUGCAGUUUUUCAAUGCCCAAAAACAGUGCCUUACUCUGCAGGAUGUGCUCAAUAACAAUCUAGGACAGAAGGACAGACACCAAGGCCUUUUUGCUGUGUGGGAAGCUAUAUUCCGAAUACAACGGCCACGCAAAACUCUCCAGACUGACGCCAAUAAGGGCGAUGAACCCGCUCAGGUCACAAUGACCAAUAUGUCGGUUAACACACGAGUUCGCAAUGUUCUGGAUGCCGUCCAUUCUAGUGGGGAUUACGAAAGGCUAACGCAAGGCGUAUAUGAGAAUUAUCUGCAACAGAAGAUGCCCGAUCCGAACUUUACGGGCGUUUGCGAUGCCCUCAAAUGGUUUUGCUUCACGGAUACGGUGCAGCAUCAGAUUAGCAGACAGCAGAACUACAGUGUGUACCCGUACCUGCAGUACGGCUUUGUCGUCUGGCACUUGCUGUUUGCCACACUGGCCUGGCCGAAAAUUGCAUUUCCAACGCGUGGCUUUGAGUUCCAGCAGAAGAGCACCAAUCAGAGGAAUAUUUUUCAGGCGCUGUGCAAAGGGGUCACCACCUCGGCUUUGGGUGUGGGUCAGGGCAAAACUCUGCUCCUCGAUACAGUGCCUUUGCUGAAGAGGAUUCUGUCACCACAACUGCGCUCCGUGGCGGUGCAGUUGCUGUCUCCAAAGGAGCAACAGGACUUACGCCACACCAUCGAGGUGAUGGUUGAUCUCGGCCUGACUUUCGUUCAAGUCAAGUCCCAAGAAGGACAUUAUGUCUUUCAAACCGAACCAGAUCUGGAUGCACUCAGUACAUUUCCAGGCUACUCUGGUCUCACGCUCCCCUACUUUAGUCGCCAGUUGAUAGCCCGCGAAGUGGACUUGGAACGCAUACGACGAGCUGCUCCCAAAGGCGGUGCUCCUUCAGCUCCUUCGGUCGCCAAAAAGAAAACUGCAGGAAGUGCAGCUGCUCAGCUGCCCAAUCAUUUGCAAACAUUGAAGCCGAAACCAAUUUCGGAGCCUAAUAUGCGCAGUGCACCCAAACAGCAGCUAACCAAGGACUUUUUUGGUCGCAUUACCCACAAAACGACUUCAAAAAAUUCAACAGAGGAGGCCAAAACCGAUGCCAUUGUGAAGAGCCCCAUUUGGUAUCGCUAUAAGGAGGGUUUCAACAAUGCCGUCCGCAAAGAUGUUCACAUACACGAACUACUCUAGACAACUUUCAUGGGUUUCUCACUUAAGUCAACACCUUUAUUUAUUAAAUAAAAAAUCAUUAAGAAUUAUCACUGGCAUUUUAUAGCUUUUGUUGUAAGUUUAAAAACAUUAAAAACAAAGGGCAUAUAAACAAUUAACUUGGAUUUUUAUGUAGACAGUUUAGUUGACGUUAACUUGAGAUAGUUUGAAACAAGACAUUUAAAAGGGAAUAUUAUCUUAAUGAGUGGAAAGUAAUAGGGUUGAAACAUUAUAAAGUUUUAGCCUUUUUUGCAUUAAGUUUUAUCACUGGCAUCUUGCAGCUUUUGUAUGAGUAGUUACCAACGGUUCUAUUUGUGUAAAUGUGUAGGAUUGUAUUGUUGGUUUUGCAUUUCUUAUCGCGGGUUGCGAUGAGUUAAAAAAUAAAAUUUUUUUAGUAAAGCGAACGUUUUAUUUUCAUUAAUUUUAACAGGUUAAUAGAUAAAAAGGUUUAGCAACAAGGUUUUUUCUGCAUUAGUGGCAUCUUGUGACCGCUAACCGUUUGAUUUCUUUUAUAUUAUUUAUUUGUGUAAAUGUGUACCACACACGAUUGUAUUAUAGUUGGCUUUGCAUUUCUUAUCGCGGCUUUCGAUGG